rnacentral:rRNA from 1 species
UAGCAUAAUAAAUAGUCUCUUAAUUGGAGUCUGGUAUGAAUGGUCGGACAUGAAGUAAGCUGUUUUAAUUCUGAUAUUUGAAUUUUACUUUUAAGUGAAAAGGCUUAAAUUAUAUGGUGGGACGAUAAGACCCUAUAAAGCUUUACGUUUUAUUCUUCAGUUAUAGGAUUUUAGGUUUCUUAUUCUUAUCGAAUAAAGUGUUUUGUUGGGGCGAUGGAAACAUAAGUGAGUAACUGUUUUUAUUAUAAAAAUAUAUUUUUAUAGGAAAAUUGAUCCUUUAUUAGAGAUUAUAAGAUUUAAGUUACUUUAGGGAUAACAGCGUAAUUUAUCUUGAGAGUUCAUAUCGACAGAUAUAGUUGCGACCUCGAUGUUGAAUUAAAAUACCUCCCAGGUGUAGCAGUUUUGGUGGUAGGUCUGUUCGACCUUUAAAA